rnacentral:ncRNA from 1 species
AAGUUUUAAAGCAGAACCAUCAGAUAAUUCUUGUAUUGUUUGAACAGAUGCUUUCCCAUAUGACUUAACACCUAAUAUUUGUGCUCUUUCAUUAUCUUGUAAUGCUCCAGCCACAAUUUCAGAGGCAGACGCAGAACCCUCAUUUACCAUCACAAUUAAAGGAAUUCCUUCUAUAACAUCCUGGGGUGUUGCAAAAUAUUCUAAUUUAGAGUUAAGAGUUCUGCCAUUUGUAUAGACAAUUUUCCCUUUUUUAAGAAAUAAAUCACUUAUACCAACCGCAGUUCCUAGCACCCCUCCUGGAUUAUUGCGCA